rnacentral:lncRNA from 1 species
CGCGGGUGGAACUUGCUAACAUAGGUUCGCUGGCUUGAACUUUGUUCAUCAGUGACAAGAGAAUUAUCGCUUUGGAGUUAAGUCCAACUUGUGGAGAGAAAGAAGGAUGGGAAAUAUUUGGUUGUCUGUGGGUAUCAAAACAAAAAUAGGGUCGCGGGAGUGUCCGGCGCGCCGCCGACCCCUAGCGGACGGCCCGCGAACUGAAACUCCGAGCACCGGGCCACUCACUAACCGUGGCCACUUGCCGCCAGAACCGCGCCCAGGACGCCCGCCGCCUGCUCGCUGAGCAUCCUGUGUGGAGCGUCGAGCGUCGAGCGCCCAGCCGGCAGCCGUGAGCGCCUGUCUCUACUCGUUGCUGCUCCUCUUGCUCCUGCCCUGUCGCCGUCCAGGCCCCCACUUCGCACACAACUCUCUCCGGGAACGCUCGGAAAAGCACCAAGACUGCUGCUCAGCCAGCUUGGCCCUUCCUCGCUGGCGACCGACCGACGACAGCAAGACCAAACCCGCAAACUCUGAACGCUCGCUGCCUUUCGUCUCCACCGGCCCUCCGCCCUCCCGGAGCUCAAGCCCUCGCUGACAAUUCUCCACUCCUCCUCCUCCUCAAGCGAGCCCGGAGUCUCAGGGAAAGCACCCCGUCCUCCAACCUAGAGCUCCUCCAACACCCACAGCUCUGCUCUUCUUUCUUCCCUUUCUGGAAGGCCUGGGCCUUGGGACACAAGACCACCCUGAACAAGGUCAGUCUCCAGGGCCAGGAGCCGGCACCUACACUUUGACCCACAGAGACCCCACACUGGAGCCCAACGCCCAGGCGGACUGGGACUGGCCGUGCUAGCCUUG